rnacentral:rRNA from 1 species
UACGGGGGGGGCAAGCGUUGUUCGGAAUUACUGGGCGUAAAGGGCUCGUAGGCGGCCAACUAAGUCCGACGUGAAAUCCCCAGGCUUAACCUGGGAACUGCGUCGGAUACUGGAUGGCUUGAAUCCGGGAGAGGGGGAUGGAAUUCCGCGUGUAGCAGUGAAAUGCGUAGAUAUGCGGAGGAACACCGAUGGCGAAGGCAAUCCCCUGGGCCUGCACUGACGCUCAUGCACGAAAGCGUGGGGAGCAAACAGG